rnacentral:rRNA from 1 species
GACGAGGGAUCCUAGCGUUGUUCGGAAUUAUUGGGCGUAAAGCGGGUGUAGGCGGACUGUUAAGUCAGGUGUGAAAUCCCAGGGCUCAACCCUGGAAGUGCACUUGAUACUGGCAGUCUUGAAUGUGGUAGAGGUUACUGGAAUUCCUGGUGUAGUGGUGAAAUACGUAGAUAUCAGGAGGAACACCGGAGGCGAAGGCGGGUAACUGGGCCAACAUUGACGCUGAGACCCGAAAGCGUGGGGAUCAAACAGG